rnacentral:rRNA from 1 species
AUACGGGGGGUGCAAGCGUUAAUCGGAAUUACUGGGCGUAAAGCGCGCGUAGGCGGUUUGCUCAGUCGGAUGUGAAAGCCCAGGGCUCAACCUUGGAACUGCAUACGAUACUGGCAAACUAGAGUGUGAGAGAGGAUAGUGGAAUUUCCGGUGUAGCGGUGAAAUGCGUAGAUAUCGGAAGGAACAUCAGUGGCGAAGGCGACUGUCUGGCUCGAUACUGACGCUGAGGUGCGAAAGCGUGGGGAGCAAACAGGAUUAGAUACCCAAGUAGUCC